rfam:Triticum aestivum genome assembly, contig: Triticum_aestivum_CS42_TGACv1_scaffold_129293_2BL
UACCUACUCCCUCCGUUCCGAAUUACUUCCCGCACGUAUGGAUGUAUCUAGAUGUAUUUUAGUUCUAGAUACAUCCAUUUCAACGAUGAGUAAUUUGGAACGGAGGGGGUAUAUU